GGGGAUUUAGCUCAGUGGUAGAGCGCUUGCCUAGCAAGCACAAGGCCCUGGGUUCAGUCCCCAGCUCCG
rfam:Rattus norvegicus chromosome 11, whole genome shotgun sequence.